rnacentral:rRNA from 1 species
GAUGAACGCUGGCGGCGUGCUCACCACAUGCAAGUCGAACGGUGAAGGCGGAGCUUGCUCUGUUGGAUCAGUGGCGAACGGGUGAGUAACAUGUGUGCAAUCUGCCCCUGACUCUGGGAUAAGCGCUGGAAACGGCGUCUAAUACUGGAUACGAGCUGCGAAGGCAUCUUCAGCAGCUGGAAAGAAUUUCGGUCAGGGAUGAGCUCGCGGCCUAUCAGCUUGUUGGUGAGGUAAUGGCUCACCAAGGCGUCGACGGGUAGCCGGCCUGAGAGGGUGACCGGCCACACUGGGACUGAGACACGGCCCGGACUCCUACGGGAGGCAGCAGUGGGGAAUAUUGCACAAUGGGCGAAAGCCUGAUGCAGCAACGCCGCGUGAGGGACGACGGCCUUCGGGUGGUAAACCUCUUUUAGCAGGGAAGAAGCGAAAGUGGCGGUACCUGCAGAAAAAGCGCCGGCUAACUACGUG